GACGAACGCUGGCGGCGUGCCUAAUACAUGCAAGUCGAACGCACUCUCGUUUAGAUUGAAGGAGCUUGCUCCUGAUUGAUAAACAUUUGAGUGAGUGGCGGACGGGUGAGUAACACGUGGGUAACCUGCCCUAAAGUGGGGGAUAACAUUUGGAAACAGAUGCUAAUACCGCAUAAAACCUAACACCGCAUGGGUGUAGGGGUUGAAAGAUGGUUUCGGCUAUCACUUUAGGAUGGACCCGCGGUGCAUUAGUUAGUUGGGUUGAGGGUUAAAGGGCUCACCAAGACCGUGAUGCAUAGCCGACCUGAGAGGGUAAUCGGCCACACUGGGACUGAGACACGGCCCAGGACUCCUACGGGAGGCA
rnacentral:rRNA from 1 species